rnacentral:lncRNA from 1 species
CAGGUUAAAUACUGCAGAACUAUUAGAUUAUCUGGAACUGUUUCUGACCUAAAGACUUUUCAGAAGAAAACUUAAAUUUCACUUCAAAAUUACAGAUGAAGCAACUUGCAAACAUUGCUAAAACAAGAAGCAAGAAGAAUAAUAUUUAAAUUCAUAUCAUCAUUAUACAUUUUUAUCCAUCAAAGUGGCUUCAUUCCAUACUUUCUCUUCUGUGUUUAUUUCUUACAUCAAAUAUUUGAUAAACCAAAGUGUGUAGAAGAAAAAGAGUGCUUUUCAAAUCUUUACUCUUUGCGGUAGGAAUGCUAAGGCACCAGUAUAUCUCUUUUAAGAACUUUGUUGGAUCCGAUGGAGCACCCCAGGCAGUGUUCACCUUCCUUCUGAUUCCAUGUUGUUUGGCUUUGGACUUUACAGCACCCCCUCUCAUUCCAAAUAUUCCUUUCCUGUGGGCCUGGAAUGCCCCAACUGACCGUUGUGGUAAAAUAUUUGACAUGCCUCCAGAUCUGAGCCUCUUCUCUUUAGUAGGAACCCCCCAAAAAGAUGUUACAGGACAACUUAUUACAUUAUUUUAUGCUGAUAGGCUUGGCUACUAUCCUUACAUAAAUGAAAGAACAGGUGUCCAUAAGAAUGGUGGAAUCCCUCAGGUGGGUUCCUUAAAAAAACAUUUGGACAAAGCUGAAAAAGACAUUACCUAUUACAUGCCAGUCAACAACGUGGGCUUGGCAGUCAUUGACUGGGAAAACUGGAGGCCUACCUGGGCAAGAAACUGGAAACCUAAACAUGUUUACAAGAAUGAGUCUAUUAAGUUGGUUCUGCAGCAAAAUACACAUCUUCCUUUGGAAGAGGCUGCCAAGAGAGCGAAAGCGGAUUUUGAAAAGGCAGCAAAGAGCUUCAUGCAAGAGACUUUAAAAUUGGGAAAGUUACUUCGGCCAAAACGCUUAUGGGGUUAUUAUCUUUUUCCUGAUUGUUACAAUCAUCGUUAUAACCAACCUAGUUACAAUGGAAGUUGCUUUGAUGUAGAGAAAAGAAGAAAUGAUGCACUCAACUGGUUGUGGAAGGAAAGCACUGCCCUUUACCCCUCUAUUUAUUUGAAUACCAAGCUAAAAUCUUCUCCACAAGCUGCCCUCUUUGUUCGUAAUCGUGUUCAGGAAGCCAUUCGGAUGUCUAAAAUUGCCAGUGUUAAAAGUCCACUUCCGGUUUUUGUAUACACUCGUCCAGUUUUUACCGAUAAGUCUUCGAAAUUCCUUUCUCAGGAUGACCUUGUGAAUACAAUUGGUGAGAGCAUUGCUCUAGGUGCUUCUGGAAUUAUAAUGUGGGGAAGCUUCAACUUAAGCCUAACUAGGCAAUCUUGCAUGAACCUAGACAAUUACUUGAAUACUAUACUGAAUCCUUAUAUAAUCAACGUCACUCUAGCAGCCAAAAUGUGUAGCCAAGUACUUUGCCACGAGAAAGGAGUGUGUACAAGGAAAGACUGGAAUUCAACGGACUAUCUUCACCUGAACCCAAUGAAUUUUGCUAUUCAAAGACAGAGACGUGGAAAAUACACCAUACAUGGGAAACCCACACUUGAAGACCUGCUACAAUUUUCUGAAAGUUUUUAUUGCAGGUGUUAUGCCAACAUCCACUGUAAAAAAAGGGAUAUAAAAAACAUUCGUACUAUUAAUGUAUGUUUUGCUGAAGAUAUUUGUAUAAAAGCUUCUCUAAACUCAGACUACAGUGAGCACUCUUCUAGCCAGAAAGAGAUAUCUUCUACCACUUUUAGCCCUGUCUCAUCCUCCAUACCAACUGCCAAAGUGUCUGCACGUGUUCCUGGGAAAGAUCAUGUGUCCCUCAAAAUCAGGCUUUCAGAGGAAGCCCUCUCCAACACCAUCCAAAGGGGCCAUAAGAGUGUUGACUGGAAAAAUACAUUCCGUCAGUUAUACAUUCAAAACAUUAAAAAUGAAACAAACUAUUAA